GGGGAAUUGGCGCAGUGGUAGCGCGUUUGUUUUGCAUACAAAAGGCCGUGGUUUCGAUCACCGCAUUCUCCA